rnacentral:misc_RNA from 1 species
AAGUCGUAACAAGGUUUCCGUAGGUGAACCUGCGGAAGGAUCAUUAACACGUAUCCAACGUUAAACAACCCUGUGAACUUUAAGCCUACUCUUGCAGCCCAUGAGGAACAGCAAUCCCGGUAAAUCAUUGCCAAACAGUUUUGAUUCGGGACCUCUGUCCAAAAGGAGUUGCAAUUGAGUGGUAGAUGCAGUGGCAUGGCUUCCCCAAGCAGUUAGUGAAUGACAGUGUCACUGACUGUGUAAGGAUAACGCCUCACGGUUGCCAGAGGUCGAUCACCGACCGGCAGACACUAGAAAAUGCCCCGCCUAGUGGUAACGCGCUAGGUAAAAAAAACCGAACAACUGUUAACAAUGGAUAUCUUGGUUCUC